GACGAACGCUGGCGGCGUGCUUAACACAUGCAAGUCGAACGGUGAAGGGGUCUGCUUUUGUGGGCCCUGGAUGAGUGGCGAACGGGUGAGUAACACGUGAGUAACCUGCCCCCUUCUUCUGGAUAACCGCAUGAAAGUGUGGCUAAUACGGGAUAUUCUGGGUCUGUCGCAUGAUGGGUCUGGGAAAGAUUGCGCCUUUGGGUGUUUUUGGUGGGGGAUGGGCUCGCGGCCUAUCAGCUUGUUGGUGGGGUGAUGGCCUACCAAGGCGGUGACGGGUAGCCGGCCUGAGAGGGUGGACGGUCACACUGGGACUGAGACACGGCCCAGACUCCUACGGGAGGCAGCAGUGGGGAAUAUUGCACAAUGGGCGCAAGCCUGAUGCAGCGACGCCACGUGAGGGAUGGAGGCCUUCGGGUUGUAAACCUCUUUCGCCAGUGAAGCAGGCCUGCUCCUUGUGGGUGGGUUGACGGUAGCUGGAGAAGAAGCGCCGGCUAACUACGUG
rnacentral:rRNA from 1 species